UCGAUGAAAAGUUUGUUGAUUUUGUGUUUUACUUUUUGGAUUACGAACGGGGGUGAAAGCAAAGCCUUUGAAGCAACCAAAGGUUGACAAGAAAUAGUAUGACAAGGUAUUGAUUUACUACAAAGAACAUUCCAUUUGGAGUAGUUAUGAAGCUUUUUUCUGAUUAAUUAAUUUGAAUAUAUAAUCAUCAUCUAUCGAGGAAAAUAACAGCCUAUAGGUUUGAUGAAUUUCGAUUGAUUGUUUCUUAAUCAUUUUUUAUUUCCUUUCUUCUUUGUUAAUAACGAGUUUUAUGAAAUUACCAUGUAUUAGAAUCCUGGAUCAUAAAUAAAGAAGGCAUGCUUUGUACGUUAUUUAUACUGCGACAAAACUUGUAUUUAGAUAUAUAUUUUCCUACACAUAUUAUAAUUUUUUUGAUUAAUUAAAUUUGAAAAGAAUUAUCAUUUUCUUUAUGGAAAAUAAGAAGAUUCAGGCUUUGUAAAUUUUGACUUAUUAUUUCUUCAACUAUCUGUUUUCUUUAUUCUUUUUGGUGGUAUUAGCAAUUUAUUUUCUUUCCCAUGAAUAUUUUCUUUUAAGUCGCUUAGUUGAGCUGAUAUUACUUUUUUUGAUUUAUGGAUCUUAGUGGCUGCCCAAUAUGUGGUGUUUGGUGUUUGAAUAAUUAAGUGGCAAUAGAAUUGAAAUUGAAAUUACUUAACCUUGAAUCUUAAAGAUCAAGGCAACGAUUGCUAAUAUAUUCUAGAGUUAACGUUUAGCUUUCAACACUCUUUUUUGAUUUGUUGCUAAUUCGUUUUGUCUACUGGAAUAUUUAACUUAAACUAGAAUUUUAACAACUUAGAUACAUAACAUCAUUAGUAGAUACUUGACGAUGAAGCGUGUAUAGAUUCAUACUUUGAUUGUCAAUCUACACAACUCUUGUUUAUUCAUAAGCAUAGUUUAGGUAACCAUGCAUAUAUCUGGCCAUUAUAGUUGAGUUGCAUAACAUAAUUUAUUACCGUUUUCAUAUUGGUAUAGUUUCUUAAACGAUCAUUUGACUGCUUGUAAGCUUCGAUGCUUCUAAGUUGUUAACUAUGAUUCCACUCUGUCCACAACUUUCGAGAAACAAAAAGAAUAAAAACUAAUUUUGUUCGUUUAGUUUGUUGUGAUCAUAUUUAACUCAAUCUUGAUGAGGCAAGUCUAUGAACAUUCAUGAUAAUACCUUGUUUUCAGAAAUCCUGGUGUAUUGGGAUGGCAUAUUGCUGUUUAAAGUUUCUUAUCUAAAUUUCUUCUCUCUCUUAUAAUUUGAAACACGUCGACCAUAUUCUAGGAUGACAAGGCUUAUCUUUAGAAGAAAGAAGAGAAGGAGGCUCUGAAGGAUCUUAAAGCAGAUGCUACUUGGAGGUGCAGGGCUGAAUAAAAGUGAAAAGAAACGAAACUUAUGAACAAGAAGAAACAAAAAAUUCCUCUGUGGUCAAUUGUAUCACAAUAUUACUAUUUUGUUUAAACAAUUUUAGCACGAUGUUCUUGCUUAUGCUAAACUAUCAAGCAACCUUCUAUGAAAUUCUUGUGUGUGAGAGAGAGACUGCGAGUUAAAGCAUAUGGGGUGUUGACAGUGAUGAAUUUGAUGAAUAGCCCAUAAAGCAUCUAAGCGGGUGCUGGACACUAUAUUUGAGCGCCAAGAGCUACUUGAUCAACUCAUGGGAUUCAUGAAUGAGAACGUGAACCUCAUAAAUUCUUGUACAGAGAUGCCGUGAUGAACUCCACCACAACAUCAUGGUCAAAUUCUAAUCUCGAGAAAGAACAGUUUUGUUGGAAUAUGCCCACCAUAUCCAAUGCAGUAGCUAUCCUUUUGGGUUGUUUAAUUUGAUUGAAUCUUCUUGAAUGAUGGGUUUAAUCUAUGAGCAAGCUUGAUUUGUUUAAAAUUUUAUUUUUGAAAAUUGGUAUGCAAUUUGUGAAGUGAAUAUUAUACUGUUUUGUUUCUUAAUAGAAUCCCAGUGUUGUUUUGUGGAUAUGAUGUAUUAUUAUUUUAUCAAGUCAAUACGAUGAGUUUAUUCUUAAACAUGUUGCCUAACAAAUUGAAUGUUAAAUAGAUUGAUAGAAAUUGCUCACAGUCAAAGUAAACGGGAGUAGUUUUCAAUUUCUUUUGCAUAAUAGUCUGAUGACUUAAUUGUAUUGUAGAUUUCGAAAUCAUCAAAUUUAAUUCUACAUGUUUCCAACUCAAGUGCCGGUCCUUUUAGGAGUAGACCACUAUUUUGAAAGAACAUCCAAGCAAACAAUUGAUAUUUUGAACAGAAGAGGUAAGGGUCUGGAGAACCAACUCGAAUCUCUAAAGGCUAUGAUACAGGAUUUCAAGGCAGAAGGUUUUUUUUUUUUUUUUUGGUCACUACAGCUUCCAAGGCAGUGGUAAGCUUCUUGUUUUUUGGGAGUUGUUAUUGAUUUUUCACUCUUCCACUUAAAAGAGAGUGAGUUUUUCAUUUUUCAUUGUUGUCAUAGUGGUUUUAACAUUUUAACUGACUUAGAACCUGUUUGGUAUUUUUUUUUUCUCCACUCUUAAAAUCACUCUUUCUCUUAAAGUACUAAAUGGGUAGAGUUUGAUUUAUAAAUUUAUUUUUGCAUAUCUGAAGUAGUGGGCAUGAGUUGUAUUUAUGGUACUUAUAAGUGUUGGUGGACAAGUGUCAGCCUCUGAAAUGCUGAACAAUUUUGUUCCUUGAUAUUUGGAUCAUACAUGGCAUUAAGUUGGUGUUGGACACACAAAGGUUACAGGUCAUGUCAUUACGUUCGAUUAGUACACCCUGCUUGGGUGUCAUCUGAAGUGUUACUUCGAGAACAUUAACAUUCGUUCUUAGAAUUAUUAUUAUUAGAAAAGAAGGCAUUACAUGAACGCAUUAUAUUUCUUAUUAACUCCUCGGAUUAAGAAUUUCUCUUGGUAUUCAUUUUUAUGGCAAAAAAGUGGCUUUACAACAGGCACAGAAGCUUUUGGAUGACAUAUUAGAGAGGACAAUUGAAGUAGUGAGGCAUACACAUCAACCUAUAUCAGAGAAAGAUCCCACAAUGAUUGAAGGGGAUUACACUGUUUAAACAUGCUCCCCGAUGAAUAUUGUUUGAUCACUUGGGUAAGAAGAUUUCAUCAAUCAUUCUGCUUGUUUUACUUGGACUGAGGAAGAACCUUUGGUGCCUGUCCUUUUAUGUAUUUGCCAAAGUCCUUAACAGGUCAGAUUGCUUAUCUAUUUAUUUUGCUGAAUAUUCUUGGAUCGAUCACUUGUAUCAAGAGCUGAACCUAAUUAAGUAUUAAUCUGGCUUGUGGAUAAAUGGAUUCUUUGUUGUUCUUUUUCCUAAAUGUUUUUGUUCCUGUGAUCCCAUAGUUUUACUUUGAUAACAGAUGAAUUUUAAGGGCUAAAAAAGAAGACAAGAAUUCUUUUGGGGGAAGAGGACGAGGAAAAAUAAAAAAUGCUUUGCAUGCACUUAUCUCCGACGCCGCAGUUUAUUGAUUAAUCAUCUCGCCUCUGUAUGACGUUUAGUUUCAACAUUUUCCUUUUCUAUUUCGGAGGGAGAGAUGGCUGCCUUCUAUUGUAAACUAGUUUUUUUGAGGUGUGUGAAAAGGUUUCAACUAAUCUUUAAUCAUCAAAAUGUAGUUGAAAGCUGGAAAUGGAGAUAAUAUAUAUAUUUGAAAUGAGAAGUAGAUGCAGCUGGUGUCCCAGCUAUUUGAGGAUAGUGUUGGUGUUUUGGAAGGUAGAGAGCAUAGAACAGUGAAGAAAGGAGGGGGCAGUGGUUUGGAGUUGAGAUGUAGAUGGAAUUGAUGGGUUGAAGGUUGUGGAGCUUGUUGUGGAUUGAUGGUGUGUUUUGCGGGUAGGGAAAAAAUGGUGGUAGUGUGUGUUAGCUAUGGCUUGAAGGGCCUGUUGGCUUAUUUGGAUCGCUCAGUUGGGUUUGGUUUUGGUUUAAGAAACAGAUAAAAUUGUAAAAGAUGCAGCCGGAGUUUAGUAUAGGAGUCAUCUCAGCCUUGCAAUUUUAUUACGAUCUUUGACAAAUUUUCCGGUUAACAUUUAGAUUCCUUUGCUUUACCAGAAAAUGAAACGUUCAUUUCAUUUUGGGGGACUGCAAAUGGUGAUUUGGUACAUCAUGCUGAGUGCAUGCAAUAACUAGAGCAAGUUAGGCAUCAUAAGCUAAACAUUGACGGCAAUGUUUGCACUAUGAUGCUAUAUGACCAUCAGCAUCACAUAGGCCUUCUCAUUCUACAAAAGAAGGAAUGCGAUCGAAAUGAACCACCUCAAAGUGCUGCCGAAUUUGUUAAAUUGAAGUUUGAGCUCGAACAAACUAUUCAUGCAUCUCAUUUGACAGAAGCCCGGACGUGAAAGAUAGCAUGAAAAAGGCCACUGAAAUUCAGAAAAAAUGUGUUCAAAAUGUAUUCUUUUGUGAGGUUCUCUUUCAUUUUUAUGAUGUCUAUGAUCCUUGUCAUAGUUUCUAAUAUGGUCAACUUGUAAGAUUGAAAUUCAUUGCACGAGGAAAUGAACGGGAUUUUGACCCUCACCUAUAUAAUACACGUGUAUGAAAAUUUUGUAAUACAAUCUCCCGUCAAUUCUUAACGUUCAAGACACUAACAAUGCCUUUAAAAUCACGCAACCCGUGCAUUGAACGAGCUGAAAACUAGUCUCUCUUAAAAGAGAGACUUUUAUGUUUA